rnacentral:rRNA from 1 species
CGACGGCAGCACGGGAGCAAUCCUGGUGGCGAGUGGCGAACGGGUGAGUAAUGUAUCGGAACGUACCUUUCAGUGGGGGAUAACGUAGCGAAAGUUACGCUAAUACCGCAUAUUCUGUGAGCAGGAAAGCAGGGGAUCGCAAGACCUUGCGCUGAUUGAGCGGCCGAUAUCAGAUUAGCUAGUUGGUGAGGUAAAGGCUCACCAAGGCGACGAUCUGUAGCGGGUCUGAGAGGAUGAUCCGCCACACUGGAACUGAGACACGGUCCUGACUCCUACGGGAGGCAGCAGUGGGGAAUUUUGGACAAUGGGGGCAACCCUGAUCCAGCCAUGCCGCGUGAGUGAAGAAGGCCUUCGGGUUGUAAAGCUCUUUCAGCCGGGAAGAAAUCACAUGGGUUAAUACCCUGUGUGGAUGACGGUACCGGAAUAAGAAGCACCGGCUAACUACGUGCCAGCAGCCGCGGUAAUACGUAGGGUGCGAGCGUUAAUCGGAAUUACUGGGCGUAAAGCGUGCGCAGGCGGUUUGUUAAGAUAGGCGUGAAAUCCCCGGGCUCAACCUGGGAACUGCGUUUAUGACUGGCAGGCUAGAGUAUGGCAGAGGGGGGUGGAAUUCCACGUGUAGCAGUGAAAUGCGUAGAGAUGUGGAGGAACACCGAUGGCGAAGGCAGCCCCCUGGGCCAAUACUGACGCUCAUGCACGAAAGCGUGGGUAGCAAACAGGAUUAGAUACCCUGGUAGUCCACGCCCUAAACGAUGUCAACUAGGUGUUGGGUGGGUAAAACCAUUUAGUACCGGAGCUAACGCGUGA